AUUGAACGCUGGCGGCAGGCCUAACACAUGCAAGUCGAGCGGAUGAAGGGAGCUUGCUCCUGGAUUCAGCGGCGGACGGGUGAGUAAUGCCUAGGAAUCUGCCUGGUAGUGGGGGAUAACGUCCGGAAACGGGCGCUAAUACCGCAUACGUCCUGAGGGAGAAAGUGGGGGAUCUUCGGACCUCACGCUAUCAGAUGAGCCUAGGUCGGAUUAGCUAGUUGGUGGGGUAAAGGCCUACCAAGGCGACGAUCCGUAACUGGUCUGAGAGGAUGAUCAGUCACACUGGAACUGAGACACGGUCCAGACUCCUACGGGAGGCAGCAGUGGGGAAUAUUGGACGAUGGGCGAAAGCCUGAUCCAGCCAUGCCGCGUGUGUGAAGAAGGUCUUCGGAUUGUAAAGCACUUUAAGUUGGGAGGAAGGGCAGUAAGUUAAUACCUUGCUGUUUUGACGUUACCGACAGAAUAAGCACCGGCUAACUUCGUG
rnacentral:rRNA from 1 species